UUCAUCGCUCAGCUGUGUGGCUUAUUCCGUAUAAAUCUAUAGGUUUAAUUUAUUUUCUGUCGCUCAACCCUCACUUGUUUUGUCGCUCUGCCGCUCAACCCUUGCCGCUUAUUGUUUUUCCGUAUAAUCAUAGUCUUACACACGUAGGAAUUACCGGGUACUAAGUACCCAUAAGAUCAUCGAAGUCAAGCUAUGUUGGGCAUGGUUAGCCCGAAAUGUGCUGUUGUUAAGAGAAAGAGAAAGAGAAAAAGAAAAAUUGGAAUUUUUGUUUCUAACGGUAUAGGCAAAAACCUGAACAUUAGAGGCACGCGCUAUAAAAUCUCGAAUUUUUAUGGAAGAUAUAUCACAUACAUUAAAGCAGGGUUAAGAAAUAUUUGUGUAUAAACACUGACUAUAAGGAAUCAAAUAGAUGAUCGGAAACGUAGACAGUGGCUUGAAAGUUCCAUCUUAAUUCAGACCUAGUCUUAAAGUUUUAAAUGAAAUGGGAAGAAACGAGACCUAAAAAUUCUAAGAGACAUACGUAUAUUCAAAUUCAUCAGCGAAAGUUCCCCUUUGAG
rnacentral:misc_RNA from 1 species